CAAUAGCGUAUAUUUAAGUUGCUGCAGUUAAAAAGCUCGUAGUUGGAUUUCGGGUGGGAAUGGCCGGUCCGCCGUUUCGGUGUGCACUUGCUACGCCCACCUUGCUGCCGGGGACGUGCUCUUGAGUUCACGCUCGGGACACGGAGUCGGCGAGGUUACUUUGAGUAAAUUAGAGUGUUCAAAGCAGGCCUACGCUCUGAAUACAUUAGCAUGGAAUAACACGAUAGGACUCUGGCCUAUCUUGUUGGUCUGUAGGACCGGAGUAAUGAUUAAGAGGGACAGUCGGGGGCAUUCGUAUUUCAUUGUCAGAGGUGAAAUUCUUGGAUUUAUGAAAGACGAACUACUGCGAAAGCAUUUGCCAAGGAUGCAUUUUCUAA
rnacentral:rRNA from 1 species